rnacentral:rRNA from 1 species
GCGGGACGGGUGAGUAAUGCCUAGGAAUAUGCCCUGAUGUGGGGGAUAACCAUUGGAAUCGAUGGCUAAUACCGCAUAAUGCCUACGGGCCAAAGAGGGGGACCUUCGGGCCUCUCGCGUCAGGAUAUGCCUAGGUGGGAUUAGCUAGUUGGUGAGGUAAGGGCUCACCAAGGCGACGAUCCCUAGCUGGUCUGAGAGGAUGAUCAGCCACACUGGAACUGAGACACGGUCCAGACUCCUACGGGAGGCAGCAGUGGGCAAUAUUGCACAAUGGGCGCAAGCCUGAUGCAGCCAUGCCGCGUGUGUGAAGAAGGCCUUCGGCUUGUAAAGCACUUUCAGUCGUGAGGAAGGUAGUGUAGUUAAUAGCUGCAUUAAUUGACGUUAGCGACAGAAGAAGCACCGGCUAACUCCGUGCCAGCAGCCGCGGUAAUACGGAGGGUGCGAGCGUUAAUCGGAAUUACUGGGCGUUAAGCGCAUGCAGGUGGUUGGUUAAGUCAGAUGUGAAGGCCCGGGGCUCAACCUCGGAAUUGCAAUUGAAACUGGCAGACUAGAGUACUGUAGAGGGGGGUAGAAUUUCAGGUGUAGCGGUGAAAUGCGUAGAGAUCUGAAGGAAUACCGGUGGCGAAGGCGGCCCCCUGGACAGAUACUGACACUCAGAUGCGGAAGCGUGGGGAGCAAACAGGAUUAGAUACCCUGGUAGUCCACGCCGUAAACGAUUUCUACUUGGAGGUUGUGGCCUUGAGCCGUGGCUUUCGGAGCUAACGCGUUAAGUAGACCGCCUGGAAAGUACGGUCGCAAGAUUGGAACUCAAAUGAAUUGACGGGCCGGCGCACAAGCGGUGGAGCAUGUGGUUAAAUUCGAUGCAACGCGAAGAACCUUACCUACUCUUGACAUCCAGAGAACUUUCCAGAGAUGGAUUGGUGCCUUCGGGAACUCUGAGACAGGUGCUGCAUGGCUGUCGUCAGCUCGUGUUGUGAAAUGUUGGGUUAAGUCCCGCAACGAGCGCAACCCUUAUCCUUGUUUGCCAGCGAGUAAUGUCGGGAACUCCAGGGAGACUGCCGGUGAUAAACCGGAGGAAGGUUAGGACGACGUCAAGUCAUCAUGGCCCUUACGAGUAG